CACCUGUUAGCUGAGCACCACUUAAAAAUGGAAGAGCGGAUCAUUCUCCUGGGGGACUGCACUGAAGACUCCCCAUUUUCAUUCAGUGUGUGAUCUCCUGCUUCUCCAGGUAAGUGUGCAAG
rnacentral:lncRNA from 1 species